rnacentral:rRNA from 1 species
AUGCACGCUGGCGGCGUGCCUAAUACCUGCAAGUCGAGCGAACAGACGAGGAGCUUGCUCCUCUGACGUUAGCGGCGGACGGGUGAGUAACACGUGGAUAACCUACCUAUAAGACUGGGAUAACUUCGGGAAACCGGAGCUAAUACCGGAUAAUAUAUUGAACCGCAUGGUUCAAUAGUGAAAGACGGUUUUGCUGUCACUUAUAGAUGGAUCCGCGCCGCAUUAGCUAGUUGGUAGGGUAACGGCUUACCAAGGCAACGAUGCGUAGCCGACCUGAGAGGGUGAUCGGCCACACUGGAACUGAGACACGGUCCAGACUCCUACGGGAGGCAGCAGUAGGGAAUCUUCCGCAAUGGGCGAAAGCCUGACGGAGCAACGCCGCGUGAGUGAUGAAGGUCUUCGGAUCGUAAAACUCUGUUAUUAGGGAAGAACAAAUGUGUAAGUAACUAUGCACGUCUUGACGGUACCUAAUCAGAAAGCCACGGCUAACUACGUG